rfam:Treponema pedis str. T A4, complete genome.
AAAACACUAGCCCGAGUUUGCUUAAAAAGCUAUUUUGCAAACUCGCAUUAUUGUAUGCCGUUUCUCAGCGUUGCUUACGAAACUGCGGAAAAUAAACAAUGCUCGAAAAUCGAUAUUUUCUGCGCUUGUUUAUUUUAUAG